GGGGUUGUGGCUCAGCGGUAGAGCGGCCGCCUAGCACGUGCAAGAGCCUGCGUUUGAUCCUCAGCACCACCU
rnacentral:tRNA from 1 species